rnacentral:rRNA from 1 species
CUUGAACCAAGUUCUUUUACUACUGAUAGCGUUGUAAUGCUAGAGCUUAUACAUGCAAAAAAAAGGCCUUGACUUUACGAAGGGGUGCACUUAAUUUAGAUAAACCCAACGCGGGGGUAAAAACCUGUUUUCUUUGGUGAAUCAUAAUAAAUUUAAAGCGGAUCGCAUGGCCUUUGUGCCGGCGACGGUCCACUCGAUUUUUCUGCCCUAUCAUGGUUGAGAUUGUAAGAUAGAGGCUUACAAUGCCUACAACGGGUAACGGGGAAUUAGGGUUCGAUUCCGGAGAGGGAGCCUGAGAAACGGCUACCACAUCCAAGGAAGGCAGCAGGCGCGCAAAUUACCCAAUCCCGACACGGGGAGGUAGUGACAAUACAUAACAAUGCAGGGCCUUUAAGGUCUUGCAAUUGGAAUGAGUACAAUUUAAAUCCCUUAACGAGGAUCAAUUGGAGGGCAAGUCUGGUGCCAGCAGCCGCGGUAAUUCCAGCUCCAAUAGCGUAUAUUAAAGUUGUUGCAGUUAAAACGUCCGUAGUCAAACUUUAGUCUUACCGGCGUAGUGGCCUGGUCUUCAUUGACCAAGCUCAUUGCUGCCGGAGACUCCAUGUCCAUUGACUCCUAGUCCUCGUGGCUAGGGUUUUCUGGACAAUUACCAUGAGCAAAUCAGAGUGUUUAAAGCAGGCUUUUAAGCUUGAAUGUGUUAGCAUGGAAUAAUGAAAUAUGACUUUAGUCCUAUUUUCGUUGGUUUAGGUACUUCAGUAAUGAUGAAUAGAAACGGUUAGGGGCAUUUGUAUUUGGUCGCUAGAGGUGAAAUUCUUGGAUUGACCGAAGACAAACUACUGCGAAAGCAUUUGACCCGGGACGUUUUCAUUGAUCAAGGUCUAAAGUUAAGGGAUCGAAGACGAUUAGAUACCGUCGUAGUCUUAACCACAAACUAUGCCGACUAGAGAUUGGGGCGUGUUUAUUAUGACUCGCUCAGCAUCUUAGCGAAAGUAAAGUUUUUGGGUUCUGGGGGGAGAUUGAACAA